GAUGAACGCUGGCGGCGUGCCUAAUACAUGCAAGUCGAGCGAACAGAUGAGGAGCUUGCUCCUCUGACGUUAGCGGCGGACGGGUGAGUAACACGUGGAUAACCUACCUAUAAGACUGGGAUAACUUCGGGAAACCGGAGCUAAUACCGGAUAAUAUAUUGAACCGCAUGGUUCAAUAGUGAAAGACAGUUUUGCUGUCACUUAUAGAUGGAUCCGCGCCGCAUUAGCUAGUUGGUAAGGUAACGGCUUACCAAGGCAACGAUGCGUAGCCGACCUGAGAGGGUGAUCGGCCACACUGGAACUGAGACACGGUCCAGACUCCUACGGGAGGCAGCAGUAGGGAAUCUUCCGCAAUGGGCGAAAGCCUGACGGAGCAACGCCGCGUGAGUGAUGAAGGUCUUCGGAGCGUAAAACUCUGUUAUUAGGGAAGAACAAAUGUGUAAGUAACUAUGCACGUCUUGACGGUACCUAAUCAGAAAGCCACGGCUAACUACGUG
rnacentral:rRNA from 1 species